GCCAGAGUGGUGUAAUGGUUUGGGUGUCAAUCUAGGACUCUGGAGAUGAGGGUUUGAAUCCCUGCUUGGCCG